UGAAGGUAGAGGUGCGAGCUUCAUUAGUAAAAGUUCCUUAGAAGAUUGAGCUUCGUUGAAGGACUUUGAAAGGGAAUGUUCGCCGAAGUGAAGAAAGACUCAAUAUUUUCUUCGCUGGUUCUGCAUUGAAUAAAUGCAGGAUUGUCAAGACUAUCUGUCUUGGAGGGCUAUCU
rnacentral:ncRNA from 1 species